UGGGGAAUAUUGCACAAUGGGCGAAAGCCUGAUGCAGCAACGCCGCGUGAGUGAUGAAGGUCUUCGGAUUGUAAAGCUCUGUCUUUUGGGACGAUAAUGACGGUACCAAAGGAGGAAGCCACGGCUAACUACGUGCCAGCAGCCGCGGUAAUACGUAGGUGGCGAGCGUUGUCCGGAUUUACUGGGCGUAAAGGGUGCGUAGGCGGAUGUUUAAGUGAGAUGUGAAAUACCCGGGCUUAACUUGGGUGCUGCAUUUCAAACUGGAUAUCUAGAGUGCAGGAGAGGAGAAUGGAAUUCCUAGUGUAGCGGUGAAAUGCGUAGAGAUUAGGAAGAACACAGUGGCGAAGGCGAUUCUCUGGACUGUAACUGACGCUGAGGCACGAAAAGCGUGGGGUAGCAAACAGGAUUAGAUACCCUGGUAGUCCACGCCGUAAACGAUGAGUACUAGGUGUAGGAGGUAUCGACCCCCUUCUGUGCCGCAGUAA
rnacentral:rRNA from 1 species